rnacentral:rRNA from 1 species
GGGGAGCAAACGGAUUAGAUACCCCGGUAGUCCACGCCGUAAACGAUGUCUACUAGCCGUUGGAGGACUUGAUCCUUUAGUGGCGCAGCUAACGCGAUAAGUAGACCGCCUGGGGAGUACGGUCGCAAGAUUAAAACUCAAAUGAAUUGACGGGGGCCCGCACAAGCGGUGGAGCAUGUGGUUUAAUUCGAAGCAACGCGAAGAACCUUACCUACUCUUGACAUCCAGUGAACUUUUGAGAGAUCAAUUGGUGCCUUCGGGAACACUGAGACAGGUGCUGCAUGGCUGUCGUCAGCUCGUGUUGUGAAAUGUUGGGUUAAGUCCCGUAACGAGCGCAACCCUUGUCCUUAGUUACCAUCAUUAAGUUGGGGACUCUAAGGAGACUGCCGGUGACAAACCGGAGGAAGGCGGGGACGACGUCAAGUCAUCAUGGCCCUUACGAGUAGGGCUACACACGUGCUACAAUGGCAUGUACAAAGGGUUGCCAAGCCGCGAGGUGGAGCUAAUCCCAUAAAGCAUGUCGUAGUCCGGAUUGGAGUCUGCAACUCGACUCCAUGAAGUCGGAAUCGCUAGUAAUCGUGAAUCAGAAUGUCACGGUGAAUACGUUCCCGGGCCUUGUACACACCGCCCGUCACACCAUGGGAGUGGGUUGCUCCAGAAGUAGAUAGCUUAACCUUCGGGAGGGCGUUUACCACGGAGUGAUUCAUGACUGGGGUGAAGUCGUAACAAGGUAACCGUA